UGACGUCGUCUUUGAAAACCGGUCCAGAUGCGGCAUGACGUAAUAUCGAGAAACGACGUUUAAAGUUGCGCCAAGUUUACGCGCGCAGCUUUCUUACACAUGUUUUAAUUAGCAAACGUUUGACCGUUAAAGUACGACUGCUUGUUACAUGAUUGAUAACAGCCUACUAGAGAAAGAAUAUUUAGACAUCAGACCUGUAAAAAAAUAGUGGUAUUACGCCUGAGACAAAAUACUUCGUUCAAACUCAGUUGUUUCCCCUUCGCUACUGUAUGUUUCCGGUUUCGGAUUUUAUCAGGGAAGUAUGUGAAGUUUACUUUUGUUUAACUACCUUUUGUUCAACGAUGAAGGGAUCUGAGGCUUGUAAUACUGUUUACUGAUUUGAUAAUAUUCCUUGUUCCUUUGAUGGUUCAUUCCACUACAGCUGGUUCAUAUACCCUACAACAGCCAGGAAAUUGGUCUGUUUACUUUAAGAUCUGAAGAAAAUGUGACAUAUUUUGGAUGUGCUUUGAGGAAUCAGGAAGGCAAGUGUUUCCUCUUGUUUAUGAAAGCAACUCAGUUGGUUAAGGGGCAGACAACUUGUGAGCAUGGUACAUCACUACCUGUAUUGGUAUUCUAUUUUGACAAUGCUGCUAGCUAGAAUAGAAAUAACAUCUUGCUGUGGUAUGGUCUGUGGAGAGUUUUACUAGGAUAUCACAGAUCGAUUGAAUAUUCAACAAUGAUCACAGACCAUGCAAAGUUUGAAUCUGACUUGCACUUUUGAAUUUAGAAGAAUCUGUGGAGGAGGGUGAAUGCUGAGACCUUUAAUAAUACAUGAUAUUGCUGACACAGUGCGUCAGUCAUCAAACACUUGAACUGAAAACUGAAAAUGUGAUUGACAGGAUUUUUCUGAGAACUGAAAAAAGGAAGUGAAUAUAAAAGAUAGAAAUUGUUGUUGAAUUCAAACGUUUUAAUACACAACACUUUAGCCUGUUUUGCUGUUCAUAUAGAUGUGUUUAGCUGUUAAGGUUAAACAUCAAGUAAAGGUUGUAGUUUCAGUUACCUACAUUAAAGUAUUGGCUGGAAAUAAAUGUUUACUUUUCACCAGAGCUUGUAGCAGUGUAACCUUCAUCAAAAGUUAAGCUAUUAUGUUAAUUAUUAAAGUAUUUUUAGAAAAAAGGAAUUUAGUAUGUAUGUUGCCAUGGUAACAUAAUUCAAAUUAUAUUUCAUUGAAGUUAUGGAUUUGUAUUUCAAUAAGGGAUCU